CAAGCAGCCUCGCCAGGCCCAGUGUUUACCAACGUUAAGCUUGAUUUAGCCACUGCAGCAUAAGGAGAGAAGUAGACCAGAAACCUAAAGUAAAGAUGAUAAGCAUAACAAAAGCAGUUGAAUAAUUCACAAGAGUCCAAAGUUUUGAUGACCAUGCAGAGUCGAGAUAUUGUGACAAAGAAUUCCUGCAUUAAGAAGACUGUUCACUCAAUUUUUCAGAAUAACGUGUUAGAUUGAAAUCCAUCUUAUGUGGGACUAAACAAUCAGGACAUUCUUCUGGAUCACAGGCACAAAGUAUUGACAAAACCAAAGAUUACCUGGUAAUCUGCAAAUGGAGUGAUCACUGGAUGAGCCAGACAACACCAUUUUCCUUGGAAAUUUUA